AGUGAACGCUGGCGGUAGGCCUAACACAUGCACGUCGAACGAGUGGCGGACGGGUGAGGAAUACCUCGGAAUCUACUCUGUCGUUGGGGAUAACUUAGGGAAACUUACGCUAAUACCGCAUACGAUUGAAUGAGCCGAUUUCGGAUUAGCUCGUUGGUGGGGUAAAGGCGCACAAAGGCGACGAUCCAUAGCUGGUCUGAGAGGAUGACCAGCCACACGGGAACUGAGACACGGUCCAGACUCCUAAGGGAGGCAGCAGUGGGGAAUAUUGGACAAUGGGCGCAAGCCUGAUGCAGCCAUACCGCGUGGGUGAAGAAGGCCUUCGGGUUGUAAAGCACUUUUGUUGGGGAAGCGGUACCCAAAGAAGAAGCACCGGCUAACUUCGUGCCAGCAGCCGCGGUAAUUC
rnacentral:rRNA from 1 species